rnacentral:rRNA from 1 species
AGGAUCAUUAUUGAAAUAAACUUGAGGAGUGGUUGCUGGUUCUCUGCGGAGCAAUGUGCACACUUGAUCAUCUUUGUAUCUCCNCCUGUGCNUCUUUUGUAGACCUUGGGUAUCUCUCUGAUUGUGUUUAGCAAUUCAGGAUUGAGGAUUGACUUUUCUGUCUUUCCUUAUAUUUCCAGGUCUAUGUUCUUCAAAUACUCUAAUGUAUGUUUAUAGAAUGUAAUCAAANAGGACUUUGUGCCUAUAAAUUGAUACAACUUUCAGCAACGGAUCUCUUGGCUCUCGCAUCGAUGAAGAACGCAGCGAAAUGCGAUAAGUAAUGUGAAUUGCANAAUUCAGUGAAUCAUCGAAUCUUUGAACGCACCUUGCGCUCCUUGGUAUUCCGAGGAGCAUGCCUGUUUGAGUGUCAUUAAUAUAUCAACUCUUUUGGUUGAAUGUGGGUUUGCUGGCCGCUUUUUGAAGUCAGCUCUCCUUAAAUGCAUUAGCGGACAACUUUUUUUNGCCAAACGCUCAUUAGUGUGAUAAUUAUCUACGCUAUUGACGUGAAGCAGGUUUAGCUUCUAACAAUCCAUUGACUUGGAUAAAUUUAUUAAUGUGACCUCAAAU